AUCUAUGGCCAUGCUACCCUGAACAAGCCCAAUCUCGGAAGCUAAGCAGGGUUGGGUCUGGUUAGUACUUGGAUGAAAGACUACCUAGGAAGACCAGGUGCUGUAGGCG
rnacentral:rRNA from 1 species